rnacentral:rRNA from 2 species
GCGAGUAUAUACAUGCAGUCGAGCGAACAGAAGGGAGCUUGCUCCCGGAUGUUAGCGGCGGACGGGUGAGUAACACGUGGGUAACCUGCCUGUAAGACUGGGAUAACUCCGGGAAACCGGAGCUAAUACCGGAUAGUUCCUUGAACCGCAUGGUUCAAGGAUGAAAGACGGUUUCGGCUGUCACUUACAGAUGGACCCGCGGCGCAUUAGCUAGUUGGUGGGGUAAUGGCUCACCAAGGCGACGAUGCGUAGCCGACCUGAGAGGGUGAUCGGCCACACUGGGACUGAGACACGGCCCAGACUCCUACGGGAGGCAGCAGUAGGGAAUCUUCCGCAAUGGACGAAAGUCUGACGGAGCAACGCCGCGUGAGUGAUGAAGGUUUUCGGAUCGUAAAGCUCUGUUGUUAGGGAAGAACAAGUGCGAGAGUAACUGCUCGCACCUUGACGGUACCUAACCAGAAAGCCACGGCUAACUACGUGCCAGCAGCCGCGGUAAUACGUAGGUGGCAAGCGUUGUCCGGAAUUAUUGGGCGUAAAGGGCUCGCAGGCGGUUUCUUAAGUCUGAUGUGAAAGCCCCCGGCUCAACCGGGGAGGGUCAUUGGAAACUGGGAAACUUGAGUGCAGAAGAGGAGAGUGGAAUUCCACGUGUAGCGGUGAAAUGCGUAGAGAUGUGGAGGAACACCAGUGGCGAAGGCGACUCUCUGGUCUGUAACUGACGCUGAGGAGCGAAAGCGUGGGGAGCGAACAGGAUUAGAUACCCUGGUAGUCCACGCCGUAAACGAUGAGUGCUAAGUGUUAGGGGGUUUCCGCCCCUUAGUGCUGCAGCUAACGCAUUAAGCACUCCGCCUGGGGAGUACGGUCGCAAGACUGAAACUCAAAGGAAUUGACGGGGGCCCGCACAAGCGGUGGAGCAUGUGGUUUAAUUCGAAGCAACGCGAAGAACCUUACCAGGUCUUGACAUCCUCUGACAACCCUAGAGAUAGGGCUUUCCCUUCGGGGACAGAGUGACAGGUGGUGCAUGGUUGUCGUCAGCUCGUGUCGUGAGAUGUUGGGUUAAGUCCCGCAACGAGCGCAACCCUUGAUCUUAGUUGCCAGCAUUUAGUUGGGCACUCUAAGGUGACUGCCGGUGACAAACCGGAGGAAGGUGGGGAUGACGUCAAAUCAUCAUGCCCCUUAUGACCUGGGCUACAUACGUGCUACAAUGGACAGAACAAAGGGCUGCGAGACCGCAAGGUUUAGCCAAUCCCAUAAAUCUGUUCUCAGUUCGGAUCGCAGUCUGCAACUCGACUGCGUGAAGCUGGAAUCGCUAGUAAUCGCGAUCAGCAGUCCAUUCGCUCGACUGCAUGUAUAGCACGCCGCGAUCUG